UACGUAGGGUGCGAGCGUUAAUCGGAAUUACUGGGCGUAAAGCGUGCGCAGGCGGCUUUGCAAGACAGAUGUGAAAUCCCCGGGCUCAACCUGUGAACUGCAUUUGUGACUGCAAGGCUAGAGUACGGCAGAGGGGGAUGGAAUUCCGCGUGUAGCAGUGAAAUGCGUAGAUAUGCGGAGGAACACCAAUGGCGAAGGCAAUCCCCUGGGCCUGUACUGACGCUCAUGCACGAAAGCGUGGGGAGCAAACAGG
rnacentral:rRNA from 1 species